rnacentral:rRNA from 1 species
UACAGAGGUGCCAAGCGUUGUUCGGAUUUACUGGGCGUAAAGGGUGCGUAGGUGGUUUGGUAAGUCGGAUGUGAAAUCCUGCAGCUCAACUGCAGAACUGCAUUCGAAACUGCCAAGCUGGAGUACUGGAGAGGAGAUCGGAAUUCUCGGUGUAGCAGUGAAAUGCGUAGAUAUCGAGAGGAACACCAGUGGCGAAGGCGGCUUACUGGUCCGGUUCUGACGCUGAGGCGCGAAAGCGGUGGGGAGCAAACA